rnacentral:rRNA from 1 species
GAUGAACGCUGGCGGCGUGCCUAAUACAUGCAAGUCGAGCGAACGGACGAGAAGCUUGCUUCUCUGAUGUUAGCGGCGGACGGGUGAGUAACACGUGGAUAACCUACCUAUAAGACUGGGAUAACUUCGGGAAACCGGAGCUAAUACCGGAUAAUAUUUUGAACCGCAUGGUUCAAUAGUGAAAGACGGUCUUGCUGUCACUUAUAGAUGGAUCCGCGCUGCAUUAGCUAGUUGGUAAGGUAACGGCUUACCAAGGCAACGAUGCAUAGCCGACCUGAGAGGGGGAACCGCCACAAUGGAACUGAGAAAAGGGCCAGACUCCUAAGGGAGGCAACAGUAAGGAAACUUCCGGAAUGGGCGGAAGCCUGAAGGAGCAAAGCCGCGGGGGUGAAUGAGGUCUUCGGAUCGUAAAAACCUGUUAAUAAGGAAAAAAAUAAGGGGAAGGAACUGUGCAAAGCUUGAAGGUACCUAAAUAAAAAACCACGGCUAACUAAGUU